CAUAAGCCCAUUAAACGUUCCCGCCUGAAAAGAAAUCUGGAAUUUCCAAUUUCUAAAACCUAAAGAGGAUUAAAAGAUAGUGUGUGCGGGUUGUUGGAGACUCAGAGAGAUUUCAAUCUCGAAGAAUGGAGGGAAAGCAAGCUGGAUCUUCUCUUGAUUCGUUGAUAUCUUCCUUCAACAAACGAGUCUCCGAGUUGCAGGAACUCGUCAUCGCCCGGAACAUGUAUCCGGCGAGCAGCGUCCCGGAUUUAACGGCGAUUGACACGGCGUUGAGCUCGAUGGAGCUUCAGGUUCAGUCCAUCAAGGAUCGGCUUCGUGAAGAGACCGAAGCUAUUCCAAAAGCCAAGAAACUUAUUGAGGCAUCGCUGAAACAACAAGGGAAGCUGCAGAAGAUGUCUGUUUAUGCACCGUCACACUUUCCUGACAAGACUACAAUGUUGAAUUCUGAUAUUAACAGAUGUUUGCUUCAAGAAAAUGUCAAGAAGCAUGAACAGAGUUCUGCUCUUAGGUCCUUGAGAUCUGAGGAGGAAGCAGCUGUUUUACCCAAGGAGAGGAAAGGUCGUGGGUCUCCUCCGCUUUGGUACAUAACUGUUGAUGAACUCAAUUCCCUCUCAUCAUACAUGAGAGGAAGGCUUACCCUGGAGAAAGUGAAUGCGGCUAUCAAUGACAUGGCUUCAUACGCUGAAGCAAAUGCUCAUCUUAUUUCAGCUCCAAAACAUAAGCUUGCUGAAAACCUCUGGGAGAAAGCACUGAAACUGCGAGACAUUGUAACAUCCGGAGCACUGAAGGGAAAACACUUUUUUCUUGAAACUGACAUGAAGGGGCCAAUGUUGAAGCUAGACAACACAGGCAAAGCAAUACUUACGGUUCUUAGACACCUUGGUCGUGUUAGUGAGACUCGCAUUGGUCAAAACCGCGUCAUCAUUCUUAUGAAGCCUAAUUAGAGAAGAAACCAGCUUAUCUCAAGUUUAUGUAGCCACAUCAAUUUAUUGAUUAUCUCCUGUAGAAGAGAACGAGUAAAUACAAAGAGGAAGUAAGAAAUGGAAUGGAGCAUAAACAUUCACAGAUACACGUUUAUUGAUAAUGUCUGUCACAAUCGUUUUGUCUUAUUUUUCAUAAAACCCAAUAAUUUGUUCGUGCAAAGACACGAAAAACAUUAUGCAUAAAGACAAAACCCUAAACAAUAAACCCUCUUGAAAGCAUGGAUACUCUUUUACACAUUUAUUACCAACUAACUCAUAUCAUAUCAUAUAAUUAUAUUACAAGAGAUGAUCAUAAAUUCUCUUGUACAGCCACGUUUUAGACUAUAUAGAGUUCACCA